CUUUCAGCUCUGAAACAUCACACAUGUAAGAUUCAAGAGUUUGCCGACCUAACUGAAGUUGAAACUUUCGGUUUUCAGGGGGAAGCUCUGAGCUCACUGUGUGCACUGAGCGAUGUCACCAUUUCUACCUGCCACGCGUCGGUGAAGGUUGGGACUCGACUGGUGUUUGAUCACGAUGGGAAAAUCAUCCAGGAAACCCCCUACCCCCACCCCAGAGGGACCACAGUCAGCGUGAAGCAGUUAUUUUCUACGCUACCUGUGCGCCAUAAGGAAUUUCAAAGGAAUAUUAAG
rnacentral:lncRNA from 1 species